GACGAACGCUGGCGGCGUGCCUAAUACAUGCAAGUCGAACGAAGCUGUUUUAACUGGUGCUUGCACCGACUUAAACAACUGAGUGGCGAACGGGUGAGUAACGCGUGGGUAACCUGCCCCAAAGCGGGGGAUAACAUUUGGAAACAGAUGCUAAUACCGCAUAACCACAGAAACCACAUGGUUUCUGUGUCAAAGACGGUUUCGGCUAUCACUUUGGGAUGGACCCGCGGCGUAUUAGCUAGUUGGUAAGGUAAUGGCUUACCAAGGCAAUGAUACGUAGCCGAACUGAGAGGUUGAUCGGCCACAUUGGGACUGAGACACGGCCCAAACUCCUACGGGAGGCAGCAGUAGGGAAUCUUCCACAAUGGACGAAGGUCUGAUGGAGCAACGCCGCGUGAGUGAAGAAGGUUUUCGGAUCGUAAAACUCUGUUGUCAGAGAAGAACGUGUGCGAGAGUAACUGUUCGUGCAGUGACGGUAUCUGGCCAGAAAGCCACGGCUAACUACGUGCCAGCCGCCGCCGUAA
rnacentral:rRNA from 1 species